AUAGAACACUAUGACAGGAUUCAACAUCAAGAUUACAGACAAAUAAUAAUAGCCUCGUGACACAAUUUUUUGUGAUCGGACUAAUUUCAAACGAUGAAAGAAAUAAGAUGAUUACUACCACAGCGGUACCUCCGAGGAGAUAUGGACUACCCAAAAUGCACAAGAAAGGACGCCCCUGAAACCAAUAUGCUCCUCUAUCUGUUCCCCAUCAUAUGGAUUAUGCAAGUUCAAGGGCAGAGUCAACAACACCAAUAUCAAGACGAUAUAUUAGUAUCUUUUGACGUAAUAUCAGUGUUUCGCAAGUACUGGACACAAUCGGCAAAAUUGUGUUUCGUUUUUGUCUUCAAUAAAAGCCAAGGACCUCGAGUCAUCCAAUCAAAUAUUUA